CCCUUAGAUGUUCUGGGCAGCACGCGCGCUACAAUGGUCUUCGCAAACGGAUGCAUUCUCGAAGGAGAAUGCCAAUCUUGGAAUCUAUGCCUUGGUCGGGACAGUUGCUUGAAAUUUUUCGACUCGAACCAGGAAUUCCUUGUAAUCGUGAUUCAUCACAUCACGAUGAAUACGUCCCUGCCCUUUGUACACACCGCCCGUCGCUCCUACCGAUCGAAGAGUUAGGUGAAUUGUUUUGAUCGAUAAGAUUUGACUAUGGUCAACUCUCGUUGUGAAAUUCUGUGAAUCUGACUGUUUAGAGGAAGGAAAAGUCGUAACA
rnacentral:rRNA from 1 species